rnacentral:rRNA from 1 species
AUUGAACGCUGGCGGAAUGCUUUACACAUGCAAGUCGAACGGCAGCACGGGGGCAACCCUGGUGGCGAGUGGCGAACGGGUGAGUAAUACAUCGGAACGUGCCCAAUCGUGGGGGAUAACGUAGCGAAAGCUACGCUAAUACCGCAUACGAUCUACGGAUGAAAGCGGGGGAUCGCAAGACCUCGCGCGAAUGGAGCGGCCGAUGGCAGAUUAGGUAGUUGGUGGGGUAAAGGCUCACCAAGCCGACGAUCUGUAGCUGGUCUGAGAGGACGACCAGCCACACUGGGACUGAGACACGGCCCAGACUCCUACGGGAGGCAGCAGUGGGGAAUUUUGGACAAUGGGCGCAAGCCUGAUCCAGCCAUUCCGCGUGCAGGAUGAAGGCCUUCGGGUUGUAAACUGCUUUUGUACGGAACGAAACGGCUCUCUCUAAUACAGGGGGCUAAUGACGGUACCGUAAGAAUAAGCACCGGCUAACUACGUGCCAUCAGCCGCCGUAAAAC